AAUAGAUACCCAGGUAGUCCACGCCGUAAACGAUGAGUGCUAAGUGUUAGAGGGUUUCCCGCCCUUUAGUGCUGCAGCUAACGCAUUAAGCACUCCGCCUGGGGAGUACGGCCGCAAGGCUGAAACUCAAAGGAAUUGACGGGGGCCCGCACAAGCGGUGGAGCAUGUGGUUUAAUUCGAAGCAACGCGAAGAACCUUACCAGGUCUUGACAUCCUCUGACAACCCUAGAGAUAGGGCUUUCCCCUUCGGGGGACAGAGUGACAGGUGGUGCAUGGUUGUCGUCAGCUCGUGUCGUGAGAUGUUGGGUUAAGUCCCGCAACGAGCGCAACCCUUGAUCUUAGUUGCCAGCAUUCAGUUGGGCACUCUAAGGUGACUGCCGGUGACAAACCGGAGGAAGGUGGGGAUGACGUCAAAUCAUCAUGCCCCUUAUGACCUGGGCUACACACGUGCUACAAUGGAUGGUACAAAGGGCUGCAAACCUGCGAAGGUAAGCGAAUCCCAUAAAGCCAUUCUCAGUUCGGAUUGCAGG
rnacentral:rRNA from 1 species